rnacentral:misc_RNA from 1 species
GAAAUGCGAUAAGUAAUGUGAAUUGCAGAAUUCAGCGAAUCAUCGAAUUUUUGAACGCACAUUGCGCCUCAGGGUAUUCCUUGAGGCAUACCUGUUCGAGCGUCGUUUAGACCAUAAGGCUUUGCCUUGCGUUGACUGGUGGAUUUGCGUUAGCAUCCAGCAGUCUAAACAUGUUGGCGUCGUAGUUUGACCAAGACACACACAAGUGAGACUGGUUUUGACGAAAUGACAGCCUUGAACUAUCUGUCUCCUCUUUUGGAGAUGUAGGUUCGACCUCGGAUCAGGUAAGACUACCCGCUGAACUUAA